CAAAGUUAGAAAACUUAGAAUUGACAAAAUUUAAAGAAAUUUAAAGCUUGAAAAAUUAAUUGUCAUAUUAUGUUUCAAAGAAGUUUCAGGACAGGCAACUACUGCUAAAAUUGUAACUCAAAGUUAAUGCUAAAAAAUAAUUUGCAUGCAAAAGACUUUGGUAUAUAAGAUUAUGCAAUACGCUGAACUAUAACGAUAAAAAUUACCGUGGAACAAGACCGUAACGAAUGUUUGCAGUCAUCCAUAUGUGAAUUAAAAAUUAAGUAUGUUAAAGACGACUGUGCGAUGCAGGCAGAGAUCAAUAGACUGUGAAUUGAGUUAAUACAGAAUUUCGCUAGACUGAAUGUAGUUAAACCUCAAUAAUUGCAAAAAUCACAAGAUAAAAUAGAUUAAGGAACCAAUUUUAAGGAGAAAAUUCAAGAAAAAAAGUAAGAAAAGAGAAAAAUUAAUUAGAGAAGAAAAAUGGUAAGCUUAAAGGCUGAGGACAUGCAAUUGAUCUCAAAAUUAAAGUUUAUUAAUACGAAGCUAUGUAACUCACAAUUGGAAAACAAUAUUUUCAAAUUUUAGCUCACUGAGAAAGACAAAUCAAUAAAACUUUUGGAGGCAACGAAAUACAAGCUACAACGGGAAACGGAAAAGAUCAAGAAAAGCGAAGAGUUGACAGCAAAAAUGUUCAUAACAACAUGUAGAAGAGCAAACAAUUUCUAAAAAGAAAUUAAAAUUGAAAACUCAGGAUGAAUGUGAACUUAAAGAGUUAAGUAAAAAUUAUUUGAACGAAUUUCAUCUUUGGAAAAAAUGAAAUGUGCUUUAAUAUCUCUAAAUAAUGAAAAUGUUUUGCAUUGACGUCACUAAAUCGUUAAAACUUCGUUUAUUGAAAGCACGCUUUUACAAAACUUCAAAUAUCGUACAACAGUCAAUAAUUCAUGAGAAUAAGGUUCAAAUAGUUACUUCUCAUAAAAUCCAUCAUGAUAUCUAUUUACAAAACAUUUAGAUUAAAUUAUCAUACAUAACGUAGUAUUUUGAAACAAUAACGCUAAUCGAAGUAUAUAAUUCAAGCAAAUCAAAACUAUAGCUUGAUACUAUAUAAUACGCCUAAAAACAUACUAAAAAAUGCAUAGAAUUCAACCAUCAUAAUAUAUCGAUACGAAUGGAUAAAGGGCCUUCAAAAGCAGCCAAAUCAAAAGUAUUUACAAUAUAGUUGGCGAACUAACACUGGAUCUAUAAAGUUGAUAUUUAUAUACGCUGUGAAAUUAAUGAGAUUAACAAAUAACCUAAUAUCAGCUAGCAAUACACAAAAUCAAAGCUAUUCAAAAAUUCCACAAUAAUAAAAAAUAAAAAAUAAUGAGCCCUUUUUAGACAACUUUAUUUGUAUACAAUACAAUAUAAACAUAGCAUUGAAUACACUAUUUGAGCAUAAUAUAACAAUUUGACAAUAUCAAUAAAGCUUCCUUUAUUGUAAUGUUGUAAAAAAUAGUACGUACAAUGAAAUUGUAUUUGAUCGAAAUUAUGCUUAAGCAGUACUCAAAAUGUUGCGGACUUACAUCAAAUAUCGAAAAUAAUAUUUUCUAUUUUUCAGCAAUGACUUUGCAAACUUUUAUAAAAUAAAAUAAAUGUGUAGCUUUCAAUUU